AGGGUUUGAUUCUGGCUCAGGAUGAACGCUGGCGGCAUGCCUAAUACAUGCAAGUCGAACGAGAGGAAGGAAAGCUUGCUUUUCUGAAUCUAGUGGCGAACGGGUGAGUAACACGUAGGUAACCUGCCCAUGUGCCCGGGAUAACUUCUGGAAACGGAUGCUAAAACCGGAUAGGUAGCAGACAAGCAUUUGACUGCUAUUAAAGUGGCUAAGGCCAUGAACAUGGAUGGACCUGCGGUGCAUUAGCUAGUUGGUGAGGUAACGGCCCACCAAGGCGACGAUGCAUAGCCGGCCUGAGAGGGCGGACGGCCACAUUGGGACUGAGACACGGCCCAA
rnacentral:rRNA from 1 species